rnacentral:rRNA from 1 species
CUGAAAGCAUCUAAGCGCGAAGCCGUCCGCAAGAUUAGACAUCCCUUGAGGGUCGUCAGAGACUAUGACGUUGAUAGGCGGCAGGUGUAAAGGCAGCAAUGUCAAAGCCGAGCCGUACUAAUUGCCCGAGAGACUUUUCCGA